AACUUUCAACAACGGAUCUCUUGGUUCUGGCAUCGAUGAAGAACGCAGCGAAAUGCGAUAAGUAAUGCGAAUUGCAGAAUUCCAGUGAGUCAACGAAUCUUUGAACGCACAUUGCGCCCUUUGGUAUUCCGAAGGGCAUGCCUGUUCGAGCGUCAUUAUCACCCCUCAAGCCCCUGGCUUGGUGUUGGAUGGCUCGGCGAGGGCUUCGGCCCCCGCCCCUCCUAAAGAAAAUGACGGCGGCCUCGUUGGACCCCCGGUACACUGAGUUCUUCACGGGACACGUACUGGACACAAGGGCCCACGGGACACGGUCUCACUCCCCCUCGGGAGAACUUUUAUCAAGGUUGACCUCGGAUCAGGUAGGGAUACCCGCUGAACUUAAGCAUAUCAAUAAGCGGAGGCU
rnacentral:misc_RNA from 1 species